AAACAUUAACUAAUGAUUGAAUGUCAUUGUCAUCUUCAGUGCAGUCUGACAUCAGAUCACAAUAUCAUGUGGAUGCAGUUACUGACAUGUUAAACACUUAUCCAGGUAUUGUGAGAUUUAGUGUGUGACUGCAGUCAUUGUGUUAAUAUUGAGUCUCUCUCUUUCCUCAGUACUCUGUGCUUCCCAGAAAACAGUCCAGUGUAAGACUCAGCAGGUGAAAGGCAUCGUGGGACAGUCUUUCUCUUUUCCAGAGAGGGUGAUCAAGUCUGGCAAUUUAGUUUAUGGAGACCUUGGCAGUAUUGCAAAUGUGUACCCUGGUAAAGAAGGGAAAAUCACCCUUGAGAAGAGAUUUGAAAACCGCCUCCACUUGAACAAUGUUACAAGAUACUUCACUCUGUCAGACCUUCAGAUAGACGAUGCUGGGSUUUAUACUGUUGAGAAUACAUAUGAAAGAAAACUAAAAACAUUUGAGCUCACUGUAUACAAUGUUGUUUCCAAACCUCAGGUGACAGAGUGUGACAGCAGAUCCUGUAGUGUGGUGUGUUCUGUGGACAACGAAAAAGAGGUGACCUUGACCUUGUACAGAGGAGAGGAAAUACUAAACCAGACCAGCAGUCCUGAUCUCACCACCGAUCUAUCUCUCCGUUUGGAGGUAGAGGGAAGGGGCUAAAACUCCACCUACAGCUGUGUGGCUGGCAACCCUGUCAGCAAGGAGACAGUUCAUGUCCCAAAAUGUUGCAGUGAGGAUGGUCAUCCUAAUGAUGCAGACAGUGGUGGGAUGACUCUAGGUUUGCUUAUUAUUGCUGUAAUCUCCGUUUUGGUUGCCUCAGGGCUGGUUGGACUUGCAAUCUAUCUAAAGAAGAGUAGAAAUGGACACUCACAAGGCAGGAGGAGCGAACAGGUAUACAAGAACUGGAAAUGGCUUAGAG